rnacentral:rRNA from 1 species
GAUGAACGCUAGCGGCAGGCCUAAUACAUGCAAGUCGAACGGUGUCUUCGGACAUAGUGGCGCACGGGUGCGUAACACGUAUGCGACCUACCUUACAUUGGGGGAUAGCCUUUCGAAAGGGAGAUUAGUACCGCAUAAGACAGUAGCUGGGCAUCCAGCAGCUGUUAAAGAUUUAUCGAUGUAAGCUGGGCAUGCGUCCAAUUAGCUAGUUGGUGAGUUAACGGCUCACCAAGGCAAUGAUUGGUAGGGGAACUGAGAGGUCAAUCCCCCACACUGGCACUGAGAUACGGGCCAGACUCCUACGGGAGGCAGCAGUAGGGAAUAUUGGGCAAUGGACGCAAGUCUGACCCAGCCAUGCCGCGUGCAGGAUGAAGGCGUUAUGCGUUGUAAACUGCUUUUAUACAGGAAGAAACGACUCUUGCGAGAGGCAUUGACGGUACUGUAUGAAUAAGCACCGGCUAACUCCGUGCCAGCAGCCGCCGUAACAC